rnacentral:rRNA from 1 species
CCCUUAGAUGUUCUGGGCCGCACGCGUGCUACACUGAGUGGAUCAGCGGGUCAGGUUGCGCGAAAGUGUUUCCUAAUCUUUAAAUCCGCUCGUGAUGGGGAUUGACGGUUGCAAUUUUCCGUCAUGAACGAGGAAUACCUUGUAAGCGCGGGUCAUCAUCCCGCGCUGAAUACGUCCCUGCCCUUUGUACACACCGCCCGUCGCUCCUACCGAUUGAAUGGUCCGGUGAAAUCUUCGGAUUGCUGAUCAAAUUCCAGCAAUGGAGCUUGAUUGCGAGAAGUUGAUUAAACCUUAUUAUUUAGAGGAAGGAGAAGUCGUAACA